GCCUUCGUGCUGUAAUGGUCAGCACACUCGACGCGUAUUCGAGAGGUCUGAGGUUCGAGUCCUGACGAGGGCA
rnacentral:tRNA from 1 species